rnacentral:rRNA from 1 species
UCGACAUCAGAAUAUAGGAUAUUCUCAGAUGUAAGCAAACUAGGUAGCUGCUUAUUAGCAAUACUAAGUAAUUAGUAUUAAGCUCCUAUGAAGUAGGAAGUACUACGUACAUCGUACAUAGUACCAAGUAGCAAUACUUGUAUUGAAUCCUUCAAUAGAAUACUUCACAGAAGUGGCUUCUAAGUAGACUCCAAAUGAAGUAAGGAGUAACUGCCUAUACUUAUAUGAAACCUGAUUGAACUGAAUAUAUUAACCUUUUAGAUUUUAGAUCUUUAAUCUAUUAGUCUCUAGACCUCAACUGUUCUUCGACAGGUGGAGGGAAACUAUUAAUAUAGUAAAGUUCUAAUCGAAAUCUCAGUUAAUUAAGUACGACGAGAGAAAACUAGUCGGAACAUAGGGGAACCAUCCUCUAAGGCUAAGUAUUAUAAAUUUAGCGAUAGUGAAAAAGUACUGUAAAGGAAAACAUUGAAAAGCGGGUAGUAGACCAAGACACCUGAAAGGUUUACGUUUAGUUGAAGUACAAGCCUCUCUAUCCUGAUCAGGUACAAAGUACUUGAAAGUUUUCUAUCUUUAUCUCCGACCCUAGGUCGGAUAUUUUCAGGAGACAGAGGUGUAAAAUGAAAAAAUUAUUUUUGAACCUUUAAAUUAUCUUACGAAUAGCUUCUAAAAAAAUCUAAACGUAGAAUCUAAAGGAUAAAAUCAAUUUUGAUGCGUUUGGAAUCCUUAAUCGGAAACUUCCUUACAACUAAACUGUAUAAUCUCGUAGGAGAAUAAAGUGAUAAAUAUUUACAAAUUUAACACUUUCGGUGAAAUAGAACAUGAAUUAGUAACUCUAUAAGCAGUCGAAAUCCUUUAACAGGGACUACGGCGUACCUUUUGCAUAAUGGGUCAGCUAGUUAAUAGGAGUAGCAAGGUUAAGAGCCCUAGCGAAAGCGACUGGACUAUUGAAUAUUUCAACAAAUCUACGAGUACUAUAACAAGUCCUUGAUAGAUUUAUGUUUAAAUAUCAAAUAAUAGUAAUGGAUAAGUUGCUUCUAUUAGACCCGAAGCCAGGUGAUCUUACCAAGACCAGAUGAUAAUAGAUCGAACGGAUGAAUGUUGCAUUAUUCCCCGAUGAGUCUUGGUAAGCGGUGAAAUGCCAAUCUGACCUGGUGAUAGCUGGUUUUCUACCGAAACAUAUUUAAGUAUGACAUCUACCUAUAAAUGCAAAGACUUUGCUAAGAUUUAUGGAGGUACAGCACAGAGCUUCCCAACAAUUCUAAAAAAAUUAGUAUUUUAUACUAAUAAAUACUUAGAUGCGUUCAAGUUGCGGGGACUUAGAAAAUCUUACCUUUGGAAGCGAAUCUCGAAAUAACAUAAAUUGAUGGUAGAUAUUCAGACUGCUCAAGCUAAGUUGGGCAGUCAAGACGGAAACAGCCGAGAACACUGAUCAAGGUCCCAAAUGAUAGUUAAGUGAAAUUAAGGCAGUAGCCAAUUCUAAUACAGCUGUUAAGUGAGCCUGGUAGUCGCUACUUAUAAUGAACGUACGUAACAACGCAUCAGCAGUGAAGAAUAGUCGCGCCGAUAAUUUAACGGGUCUUAAACAAUCAACCGAUAUCGUGUUGAUUAAGAAUAUACCUGAAAAAAAGUAUAUUCCUAAUCUAGGUAGUAGAACAUUCAGUCUAGCCUAUAAUCUAACAGUGUUUCAUUGUUUAGUAGGAUACUGAAGAGAGAAUGCUGACAUGAGUAACGUAAAAAGAAGUUAUAAUACUUCUCGCCGAAUACGAAAGGGUUACAAAGAAAGGUUAAUCCUCUUUGUUUUAAUGCGGCCUCUAAGGACCAAAACCAAAGUUUUGGCUGAUGAGUAAUAGAAUAGAAAACCCUUUAAGGGUCAAGAAAAUAAUAUUAAAUAAUUCUAAUUAAGAGUCUGAGUCUAUAUGAAAAUAAAAAUUUUUCAUAGGGUUAACAGCCCGGCCUCCAUCUCCUACUUAAAUAGGAUUGGAAGUCUAGAUUAUUAAUACACGAUAAAUUCGUUAUUAAUAUUUAGAAAUUAUUAGCACUACCGUACCCUAAACCGACACAGGUUCGUAGGUAGAGAAUACUAAGGCGUAGAGCUAAAAGUUGUUAAGGAACUCGGCAAACACCCCUCAAACGCUUGGCAACAAGAGGUACCAAGCAACCAAAAUGUUGGUUGUAGUUUGUUUAUUAGACAGCUCACAUUUUCUCUCCAAGUCGGAUAGUAAAUGAAUUAAUAAAUAAACAAAUUGGUGUCACAGAAUCGGAGGCCCCGACUGUUUACUAAAAACAUAACACAGUGCAAUCAUUAAUGUGGUAGUAUACUGUGUGAAAUUUGCUCGAUGCCAUUAAUAUAAGUAAGGUCAAUUAAAAAAUGACUGAAUGAAAAUCUGGUUAAUAGCGGUCUUAACUAUGAGGAUCCUAAGGUAGCAAAAUCAUUUGGCCUUUAAAUGAGGUCCAGUAUCAAUAAUCUAACGAUGGUCUCGCUGUCUCUACAACUUGCUCAGUGAAAUUGAAUUACGCGUGCAGAUGCGCGUUGCCUCCAGGGGGACGGGAAGACCCUAUGCAGCUUUACUGUAGUUAGUUAUCAUCUUGGAUCUAGAACAUUUGUUAAUAAUAGACUAAUAGGGAAGUGCCAUAGAUAUAUACUUUUUUUAAAGUGUAGGUACAAAAGUUGGAAGACCUUAGGUUAACAAUGGGUCCUGAUUCACCUUUUAAGAAUUAAAAAAUAUUAGGGACAGGUGACUAAUUGGCAGUUUGACUGGGGCGGUCGUCUUUAAUAUAGUAGCAAAGUACAUCCAAAUAUUUUAUAAAAAAAAGAAAAUAGUUUUCUAAACUAUUACUUCAAAUACAAUCUAAGACCUAACUCUACGGAAGGCACCUUUAUUUCCAUACCGGAUAUAUGGGUUCUCGAAGGAGAGAAAGGUUUUUAAAAUUUAGCUUUGGACUAUUAAUUGGAAAUAUUUUAUAUCUCUAAUUAAAAAAUUCAAAUUUUAAAUUUUAAUAAGGUUGCUUUGUAACAAGGUAUAGCUAGACAUUGAAUGGAGAUCAAUCAACCAGUGAAGGGUUGCGAAGAGUUUAAUGGCGGAAAGCAUGCCUAACUGAAAGACCUAAAAGUCGCACAGAUACGUAAGUAGGGCAUAGUGACCCCUCGCUAUAAUAUGGAAUAGACGGGGAUCAAUUGAUAAAAGUUACGCUAGGGAUAACAGGCUGAUAGCGGACGAGAGUACACAUUGUCUCCGCUGUUUGGCACCUCGAUGUCGACUCAUCCUUUCCUCUGGGAGUAGAAUCUUGGAAGGGUUCGGCUGUUCGCCGAUUAAAAGGGUACGUGAGUUGGGUUUAAUACGACGUGAGUCAGUAUGGUCCCUAUCUUCUGGAGGGACAAGUAGUAAACAGGGGGAGACCUUCUAGUACGAAAGGAUCAAUAGGCUGUGUUUCUCUAGUGUACCAAUUGUUUUAUAUUAUUCUUAAUUAUUAGAAUAUAAUUAAAUAAAUGAAUAAGUAUAGACGCAUAGUUGGGUAGCCACAAACAUAUUAGAUAAAUGCUGAACGAAUAUAAAGCAAGAAUCUAACCCCUAGAUACUAAUAGAUUUUAAAAUUUAAAAUCUUGAAUUAAGAAAUAGAAGAUUUCUGAAUAGGCUGCGAAUGUACAUGAUGUAAGUCAUUAAUUUAAAAUUUUUUAGUAAAUUU